ensembl:lncRNA MAP3K9-DT MAP3K9 divergent transcript
AAACUAAAAGGCUGGAAGGGAGGCAGCUGCCUUUGUUUGCCAUGGAUGGGUAGGGGCUGCACUGAGCAGCACCGGUGUUCUUCAUCCGGCUGCACCCCCAACAGAGCUCUUUCUUCCCCAGAUCCCUUUUACAGUUGGAUUCUCCCUCUUGGAUCUGGCUCUGCCUUAGUCCGACCUAGAGGGAUCAGCUUCGCCCACGCCCACUCUCACCCGGAACCUUUCAUCUCUUAUUGAAGCCUUUUAGGCCCAUUGGGAUGUUCAUUAGAACUCUGAAAACUACAGUUCUCCCCUUUAUGAGGACUGCACCACAGCUCGCCCUCUCCUGGGUUCCGGUAAGAAGAGAUUCCAAUACCACUCUUUUUUCAGAAUUCAGAAAGGCAAGAGACCACCUUACUGAGCUUCAAACUGGGGCUGGGAACGCUGCCAUGAAUUGGGCUUGGUCUGUCUGAAGGGAGCCACCUUUUCGACAAUCCUUAGACUUCUUUUGCCUGUUGGAAUUACACCUUGGAUCGUGGCGAAGUCUAUAGAGGUCAGAUUAAGAAGAACCAAAGCAGAAUAAACGUAGAACCCGAUGCUGAGUUCACGAGUGAGGACGACCUCUUCCUAUAUGCUUUGCUAUACCCUGCGUUUUGAACAUUAAGGACGAGAUAGGAGGCCCAUAAUGUUUCUUCUUGCUUUAAUCCUGUCGUGGCAACGUUGACUUCCAAAACAAGGUCUCACUGUGUCACCCAGGCUGGAGAGCAGUGGCACGAUCAUAGCUCACUGAUCACAUGGCAGCCUCAAACUCCUGGACUCAGUGGGUCCUCCUGCCUCAGCAUCCUGAGUAGCUGGGACUACAGGUGCGUGCCACCACACCUGGCAAAUUUUGUUAAUUUUUGGUAGAGAUAAGGACUCACUGUGUUGCCCAGGCUGGCUUCAAACUCUUGGCCUCAAGUGAUCCUCCUGCCUCCAUCUCUUCAAAUGCUGGGAUUACAGGUUUGAGCCACCGUGCCUGGCCCCUUUGACCUUUUCUAAAAGAGCCAGCCCACCACUUUCACCUCUCAUGUGUACCAUUUCAGGAAAGAAGCCCUAGUUCCUGUUUCAUAAACUCCAUUUGCAUUAAAUAUGAUUUUAGGCAAAUGGUUUGGGCAGAUAUGUGGCAGGGCUGAUGGAACAGACCUGUGGAGUCAGACCCAGACAAGUCUUGAUCAACUUGUCAUGACUGUGGGAGGCCUUUCACCUCUCUGAGCCUCUGUUUCAUUGUUGGUAACAUGAGAUUGUAUAAAAUGGGGUUGCUGUGAAGGUUAGAUGAAGUAAGAGGUCCUCCUGGCAGUGCCUAAUACAUAAUAAUAAGUGCUUAAUAAAUUGUAAAUGUUAUUACAGUUGAUAGUAUUUAAUUCCUCUAUGAGGAAUUAUGAGUUAAUGUAGCUUGAACCACCAAAAAGGUAAGAAAUCUUUCCUCUUUUAGGAAAACCUCAGUUCAGAAAAGCAAUAAACUAUGGGGGGGGUGGCUGUUUAGAAUGUUGCAUCUCUGGAGAGCAAGUUGCAUUUUAACAAUGAUCAGAGCCUUUAAUUAAGGAGUGAAGGUCAAAUCAUUUCUGCUUCAUCCAGCCUGGUUGCAGAGUGAGCCCAUGGGACAGCCCUCUGAAAUUAUACUGCUUACAACCAUGCUGAGUCUGCAAGGACUUCGUCCAAGCCUUUCCGUCCAGGACCUCAAACAGAUCCAAUCACAAGAAGAGAGAUUUCAGGAAAGAGAAAAUUAUUCCUAUCAUCGGGGUUUUUGAAGAACAUGAAAUGACUGGGAAAAUAAUCAUGUUAAGUGGAAAAAAAAAAGAAAUCUAUCUGUUGUAAUUUUCAAAUAAUUUUUAAAUAAAUUUGAAAAAUUAAGAGAACUAUAUAUAUAAUACAUUCCUAAUCUUGUGAAAAAUAUAUAUGCAUUAAUAUUAUUGAAAGAAAUAUAUCAAAAGGUGAACAGCAAUUAUCACCAAUCUAGAUUAUGAGAUUAGGAGUGAUUUUUUUUCUUUGUCCUAUACUAUUUAAUAUUUUCUACCAUUAAAAUAUUCUGAUUUUCUAAUUAGAAUAGUACGUUAGACAAAGAAGGACAAAUAUCACAUGAACUCUCACUCUCUUAUGGAACAGAUCUUGUGGAAUCUAAAAAAGUUGAACUCAUAGAAAAAGAGGAAAAUGAUGGUUACCAGUUAGAAAAAAGGAAUAAGUUCAAGAGAUCUAUUGUACACCAUGGUCAAUAUAGUUAACAAUAUAUUUUAUACUUUAAAA